rnacentral:rRNA from 1 species
UAUCUCUGUAGAGUCUGCAUAUCAAUAAGCGGAGGAAAAGAAACUAACUAGGAUUCCCUCAGUAACGGCGAGUGAAGCGGGAAGAGCUCAAAUUUGAAAUCUUCAAGGUUUUACCUUGACGAAUUGUAGUUUAAAGAAGUGUUUUCUGUUGGAGUUUUGGUAAAAGUUCUUUGGAAUAGGACAUCAUAGAGGGUGAGAAUCCCGUAUUUGACCAUUAUUUCCAGCUUUGUGAUACACUUUCAAAGAGUCGGAUUGUUUGGGAAUGCAGUCCAAAAUGGGUGGUAAAUUUCAUCUAAAGCUAAAUACUGGCGAGAGACCGAUAGCGAACAAGUACCGUGAGGGAAAGAUGAAAAGAACUUUGAAAAGAGAGUUAAACAGUACGUGAAAUUGUCAAAAGGGAAGCGUUUGACACCAGUGUUGUUUUCUCGAAAAUCAAUUAAAAAUGGCUGGGAUUUUGUGUUGUAUUGACUUUAUCAGCUUUCUGCUACUCUUUUCCUAUCUUUUUUAAUGCACUUUUCGUUUAACAAGUCAACAUCAAUUUCUUUUGUUGUAAAAGGAGUCAUUGGAAGGUGGCUUUCUUUUCGGAGAAAGUGUUUAUAGCCUUUGGCCUCUGCAAUCGGAGAGAUUGAGGUCUGCAGCGUAGAUCCUUCGGGGUUAGAUACAUUUGUGCUAAGUUAUAGCCUUUCAUAGACAACUUGUUGACUAUGAUCAGUCAUGUAGCUUACUCGCUUAUGCUAUUUUACCUACGCUUAGGAUGUUGAGUCAUCACACAUCUCU